rnacentral:rRNA from 1 species
UACAGAGGGUGCGAGCGUUGUUCGGAAUUAUUGGGCGUAAAGCGCAUGUAGGCGGGAUGUUAAGUCGCGUGUGAAAGCCCCAGGCUCAACCUGGGAAGUGCGCGCGAAACUGGCAACCUUGAGUGCUGGAGAGGGUGGCGGAAUUCCCGGUGUAGAGGUGAAAUUCGUAGAUAUCGGGAGGAACACCAGAGGCGAAGGCGGCCACCUGGACAGACACUGACGCUGAGGCGCGAAAGCGUGGGGAGCAAACAGG